CACAAAUUUCUGAAUUAGCAGAGAAGAGCCCAAGUACCUAAUUAGCCCUCAGCUACACCUGGAGAUGAGGAGCAGUUGCAGAUGAGUGCUAUGGCAGAAGAGAUAGAAGGAGAAAAUCUCACUGUAGGGAUAGUCAGUUCUUGACUGUAGGAAAGGAACAGGAUGCUUGUGAACGGUGUUCUGAGAAAAAGUGGAGAAGCUGGAAUAACCCAGAUCUCAAUUAUGGCAGAUGAGAAAAAUGCCACAGGUGCCCCUCAGUUCCUUCACUUGUCAGACAUUCUCAUGGCUCAUUUCACACCCAGGCUAGCCUGAUGUUAAAAGGCUUGUAAUCAUCAGGCAUUGGGAUAUAAUUUUACCAAGCAAAUUGGAAGGUAGCAGAUCAAAUCCUUAUCGGAAAGACUAACUCAUGGUUUAGUGAAGUCCUCCGUCCUUUAUGUGAAACAUUAUAUUCGUGAAGAACAAAAAAGUGUUUGAGAGCUUACAAAGGGUUAAUAGCAAGGGCUUAUAUUUGGG
ensembl:lncRNA